UGAGUAAAGCCUAGUGACGCGUCAAUCUAAAAGGGUCUGAUCAGCCCGAAAAAGUCAUAUAUAAACAGGCCUGGCAGAAAAGCGCGUAGUCGUCUGUUUCUGUGGUGUCCAAAAAUGAAUACAAAAACGCUUAUUGCUCCACUGUAUUGUUUUGAAUUGUACUUGUUGUUCAAGAAAAGAGUUUUUUCUUAUUACAUUAUUUGUAUAUAGUACUCUUUUUCAUAGUUUAAAAUUUUAUUCAUACACCGUUACAAUCCUAAAGUAUGUUCUGCCACACCGUCUCCUUUGCUUAACUGUCAUUCGGUCGAUUGUUAGUCUCGUUGCAGGAAGUUUAUUGCUAACAUUUUUGUUUGCUUUGUAGCUCAUAUUUUUAUUCGUGAUAAAACUAAGAAAAGUGUGCUGAACUGUAACAAUCUAGUCGCUGAAGAUUUGAUGAGUUUAUCAUGGUGAGGAAUUGCAUUUUAUCAAUUUAACCAGGUAAACAAUACCAACGUAUAGUGUACCAACGUAGAUCUGAUGUAGGUAUAUCGAAGAACACGAAAUGCGAAAUGAAAAACUUCAGCCGUCAUCGCCGGUUCGGCGGGAUGUCCCACUGGACUUAUCGUUACAACGCCCAGGUUCACUGAGUCAUCCAAUUAACAAUUCGGUACAUCGCCUGGGACUGAGUUAGAUAAAUCGAAAUUGUCUUCGAUUACUUAUAAAGCAUCGAGUACGCUGGAUAUCGUUUUUAAUGAGCAAAUCGUUGCCAACACAGCCACUGAAAGUAUCACUGGUUCGGAAAUCAAAACAAACCAAUUAUAUAUCAGCAAAAUUUUGUCGUAAGCAGGGAGCUGAUGUUAACAUCCAUGUUAGAUGACGAUAUGCCGAGAUGUGGCAAUACUACGACAGAGGCACUUAAGAAUUUCUUUUAGUUCCCUAAACCUCCAUCACGCUCAACAGUUUACCGUAACUACAAACGGAAAACCUUUGCUGUUUUGACAGCCGUGGAACGACUGGGCGAAUUAGAAUUAGCUGCAAAUAUAAAAAAAGAAUCAGCGAGGCAACGGAUUGAAAAAAACAGAGAUGCGAAACAGGAAAAAAAAUGCAGAUUGAAGAACAAAAAACAAGACGACAACCCAGACGACAACGCACUACAGAAAAAGACAGCUAGAGAGGAAACUAGACGUCUGAAGGAGAAGGCAAAAAAACUAAAUUAGAAGAGAAGAAAAAACAUGCAAACAGCGAAAUAAAACCAUGAGCGAAAUACAAAAUGACAUAAAUGUGAGAGAAGCACUCGAAGAAGCGAUAAUUAUAACACAGCAGCUUAUAA